rnacentral:rRNA from 1 species
GACGUAGGGCGCGAGCGUUUGUCCGGAUUUAUUGGGCGUAAAGAGCUCGUAGGCGGCUUGUCGCGUCGACUGUGAAAGCCCGCGGCUCAACCGCGGGUCUGCAGUCGAUACGGGCAGGCUAGAGUUCGGUAGGGGAGACUGGAAUUCCUGGUGUAGCGGUGAAAUGCGCAGAUAUCAGGAGGAACACCGAUGGGCGAAGGCAGGUCUCUGGGCCGAUACUGACGCUGAGGAGCGAAAGCGUGGGGAGCGAACAGG